AACGAACGCUGGCGGCAGGCCUAACACAUGCAAGUCGAACGCCCCGCAAGGGGAGUGGCAGACGGGUGAGUAACACGUGGGAACCUUCCCUAUAGUACGGAAUAGCCCAGGGAAACUUGGAGUAAUACCGUAUACGCCCGAGAGGGGAAAGAUUUAUCGCUAUAGGAUGGGCCCGCGUAGGAUUAGCUAGUUGGUGAGGUAAUGGCUCACCAAGGCGACGAUCCUUAGCUGGUUUGAGAGAACGACCAGCCACACUGGGACUGAGACACGGCCCAGACUCCUACGGGAGGCAGCAGUGGGGAAUAUUGGACAAUGGGCGCAAGCCUGAUCCAGCCAUGCCGCGUGAGUGAUGAAGGCCUUAGGGUUGUAAAGCUCUUUUGCCGGGGACGAUAAUGACGGUACCCGGAGAAUAAGUCCCGGCUAACUUCGUGCCAGCCGCCGCAGUAAAAC
rnacentral:rRNA from 1 species